rnacentral:rRNA from 1 species
AGUGAACGCUGGCGGUAGGCCUAACACAUGCAAGUCGAACAGCAGCACAGUAAGAGCUUGCUCUUACGGGUGGCGAGUGGCGGACGGGUGAGGAAUACAUCGGAAUCUACUUUUUCGUGGGGGAUAACGUAGGGAAACUUACGCUAAUACCGCAUACGACCUACGGGUGAAAGCAGGGGACCUUCGGACCUUGCGCGAUUGAAUGAGCCGAUGUCGGAUUAGCUAGUUGGCGGGGUAAAGGCCCACCAAGGCGACGAUCCGUAGCUGGUCUGAGAGGAUGAUCAGCCACACUGGAACUGAGACACGGUCCAGACUCCUACGGGAGGCAGCAGUGGGGAAUAUUGGACAAAGGGCGCAAGCCUGAUCCAGCCAUACCGCGUGGGUGAAGAAGGCCUUCGGGUUGUAAAGCCCUUUUGUUGGGAAAGAAAAGCAGCAGGUUAAUACCCCGCUGUUCUGACGGUACCCAAAGAAUAAGCACCGGCUAACUUCGUG